AGAGCAGGCUGUCACCGAGACUGACAAUUUUUAGCUAAUGUGCAUUUUGUUGUGGGAAGCAGGUGCUGAAGGUCUUCCCAGGUCACCCACGCUUCCUUAAGCCAUUUUCUCCCCAUCUCUUUCUUCUCUCCACCAGAGAAAGAGGAGGAUUCCCAUUCCUAUCAAAAUGUCAUCAUUGGAGCGUCUCAGGGCUCCGAUCCAGAUGACGCUCUAGACUACGAGAACAGCCCGGCCAUACACACGUGGAAACUCCAGCGGGCAGGAGUGUUCCGCGUAAAGUCUGAAGAAGUCCCGUGCCGAGCUGUAAGAGCACAGCCAGCGAGCACGCGCUCAGGGAGAGAGGGGACGUCGAUCCCUCGGUGAGAUCCCUUCUCCAAAUUGUGCCCAAGACCACGUAGAAGGGGUGCUGCUGAAAGGAAGAAACACUCUGCUUGAAGUCCCACCGAAGUCCAACCGCAAACCUGGCACUGGAGAAAGCGCUCUGCCUGCAGUGACCACGGGCAAGCCAAGAACUCCUCAUCCCAUCUCAUUUCCCUCCACGUCUACUGGAGAGAGGGUGGCCAGUCCGUGC
rnacentral:lncRNA from 1 species